UGAGGGAAUAUUUGGGGGCAAUGGGGGGAAACCCUGACCCAGCAACGCCGCGUGAAGGAAGAAGGCCUUCGGAUCGUAAACUUCUAUCCUUGGUGAAAAUGAUGAUGGUAGCCAAGAAGGAAGCCCCGGCUAACUACGUGCCAGCAGCCGCGGUAAUACGUAGGGGGCAAGCGUUGUCCGGAAUGAUUGGGCGUAAAGGGCGCGUAGGCGGCCUGUUAAGUUUGAAGUGAGAGUCCUUCUUUUAAGGAGGGAAUUGCUUUGAAAACUGGCGGGCUUGAGUGCAGGAGAGGUAAGCGGAAUUCCCGGUGUAGCGGUGAAAUGCGUAGAGAUCGGGAGGAACACCAGUGGCGAAGGCGGCUUACUGGACUGACACUGACGCUGAGGCUCGAAAGCGUGGGGAGCAAACAGGAUUAGAUACCCUGGUAGU
rnacentral:rRNA from 1 species